GACGUAGGGCGCGAGCGUUGUCCGGAUUUAUUGGGCGUAAAGAGCUCGUAGGCGGCUUGUCGCGUCGGCUGUGAAAACCCGCGGCUCAACUGGGCGGGGUCAGCGGAUACGGUGUAGCUGGAGCAAGCUAGGGGGCAAUGGAAUUCCCGGUGUAGUGGUGGAAUGCGUAGAUAUCAGGAGGAACACCAGUGGCGAGGGCGGUUGCCUGGAGCUUUGCUGACGCUGAGGCGCGAAAGCGUGGGGAGCGAUCCGG
rnacentral:rRNA from 1 species